UUCAAAUUCAAUGAUAAUUGUUUGUGGUUUCAAUAAAAAAAAAUAUAUUGAUCAACCGUUACAACAUUAAAAUAUUUGUUGAGAAACGAAUCAAACACGCCACAAACUUAGCAUAAACCCCGCGAACCUGUAUCAUACUACUAGACAAACACAAACCAGAACCCCUUCUUCAUUUUAUUUUUUUCGUUAAAUUUCAUGUCAUCACCUUUCUCGGUUCUUUCUUGAACAUGAUCAACAGAGACGGUCUUGGAUCGCUCAGCAACGGAAACAGGAUUAGUUUGAAGAAGAAGAUAUUCAAGCUCGCCCAUAUCGCCAUUGCAGCCUAUGUUCUUGCAGCCAUAUCCGAAAGGAGUAGCAGGUCCAGCUCUUUGCUUUUCUUUUGCGGGUUUUGCAAAGAAAUCAGAACCUUCUUCUUCUAAUCUCGCCACUACUUCCUUAUUAACACCGUGAUUAACAACCUUGAAGAACCCGUAAUCCUCACAGGCUCUUACAAUCAAUUCAGAUACAAUUGACCUGUUAAGAGAAAGAUCGACGUUUUGAACUUUGAAGAUUUGGAGAUAUGUUCAUGGCUGAGGGUGGUACCUAUUAUAUACACAGACAAGAGAGAGGAGGAUAGAGGGAGAAGGAAAGAUAUAUGAAUAUUAUAACGCUAGGUAGGGGUC